rnacentral:lncRNA from 1 species
AAACUUAAAAUAAAUGAAUUUUCUUUAUUUUUACCCACCUCAAAUCCUUGGUAGUAAACUUGAUUAAUGCUUAACUCGGGGAUAGAGAUCCUAAUUGCGCCGCACCUAAUCACAUAAAUACAUAAUACCAUGUAAGGGCCUAAAAAAAUAAAAUAAAAUAAAAUAAAAUAAAUAACAUAUCUUAACUUAAAUAAUAUCUAACUAAUUACCUCAUAUAAGUUAAAUAAAUCUUAUACCUAGCCCGCUAACACAUACUUAAGCCCAAUAUUUUAAAUACAACAAAUUAAUACAUCCUAAGGCCCAAAUAAAAAUAAUACGUAAAUAUUUAUUAUCAACUCAAUAAUAAAAAUCUGAUCUAGGCGCAAUUUCGAACUUCCUGAAAUCCCCUACACAUAAAAUCAAGAAUAAAAUAUAAAGAGACUAUUUUCUCGAAUUUUAAUAAAU